GACGAACGCUGGCGGCGUGCUUAACACAUGCAAGUCGAACGGAAAGGCCCCGCUUUUGUGGGGUGCUCGAGUGGCGAACGGGUGAGUAACACGUGAGUAACCUGCCCUUGACUUUGGGAUAACUUCAGGAAACUGGGGCUAAUACCGGAUAGGAGCUCCUGCUGCAUGGUGGGGGUUGGAAAGUUUCGUCGGUAGGGGCUGGACUCGCGGCUUAUCAGCUUGUUGGUUGGGUAGUGGCUUACCAAGGCUUUGACGGGUAGCCCGCCUGAGAGGGUGACCGGCCCCAUUGAGACUGGGAUAGGGCCUAGACUCCUACGGGUGGCAGCUGUGGUGAAAACUGCACAUUGGGCGGAAUCCUGUUGCGGCAUCGCCGCUUGCGGGAUGACGGCCUUCGGGUUGUAAGCCUCUUUCGCUUGUGACGAAGCGUGAGUGACGGUAAUUGGUAAAAAAGCACCGGCUAACUAUGUG
rnacentral:rRNA from 1 species